AAAGAAUUAGCAUGGAAUGUCUUGUCCUUAUCCACGACAUCUGGAAUGCUAUUCUUGGAAGUCAGUUUGUUGGCCUUUUUAUUUCAAGGAAAUCAUGUGGGCAGUGUAGAAGCACUUGCACGAACUUUCAUCGUGUCAGGAAUUUUCGUUGGCCUGGACUUGGUUCUGAAGGCAAUUUAUUUGUUUGGAUUUGGAGUUCCAUUAUUCAUUUUAAGCGACGACAGUACUCAUCGAACAAAGUGGAACUUGUGGGUGGUCCACCGUCUGUUGAUUACUGCAGCUUAUGGUUUUAUAUUGUUCAUGUACCAUUCAAG
rnacentral:misc_RNA from 1 species